CAGCAGCCACUCCAGGCUGGUGUUAGGUCAGUGCCUGGCCAAAGGCUCAUGAUGUUUAUGGAAAGCAGGUUGCAAUGGCUCGGGCGGGAGAGUAUAAUUGAUGGACAAAUUAAGCACUCAAAGGCCAUCCAUUUGCCUCCAACCUGGAGCCUCUUAGCCAGGGAUACAGAGAGAAGAAGAGGAGGAGGAGGUUUGGUUUCCCAGGCAGCAGGCUGAGUCUGCAGGAUGGUUAUUGAAGAACAAUGGAGGCAGAUGCUGGAGCGGCUGCGGGAGAGCCUGGCUUGAGGGCAGCCCUCAGAGCUGUCCUGCCUGGGCUGAGGUGGCCAGCCCUGCUCUCCAGCACAGGCAUUUGGCUGUGGCCCCUCAGGGGAGGGUGUCGCCAUGGGCAGGGCUUUCUGCAGCUGAGGGGUCCUGGAGCGAGCUGCCAGCAGCAGGGAGGGAGGCUUCAACAGCUGCCCAGGAACCACUCGUGUGACUCCAGGCUUCGGCCUUUCAGCAGACUUCGGGACAAACUCUUCUGGGCCAAGAGGAGGCUGCGAUUCUGGAAUGGGGCCUGGAGGGAGGCUGGGGAGCUGCUGUCUUGGGAAAACCAGAGUUUGCUCCAGGCCAGAGCAGAUCCUGUGGGGCUGCAGGCAGAAGAGAACAGAAGUUUGUGAACCACUGAGACUUUUAGAAAUUCAUGACUUUUACAUCAUGCCCUGUAAUACAGUCCGAUGUGUCUUAGUAGAACAAUUAUGUUUUAGGUUGUGCAACAAUCAAAUUAUUUAAGUUAACACCAGCCAGGUGCAGUGGCUCAUGUCUAAAAUCCCAGCACUUUGGGAGACCAGGGCAGGAGAAACACUUGAGCCCAGGAGUUGGAGACCAGCCUGGGCAACAUAAGGA